UGGUGUCUGCAACACCCUCUGCUUCUCUCCUAGGCAAUGAGAAUCAGAAGCUAGAAAUUCACCAUGUCUAUUCUCAAGAUCCAUGCCAGGGAGAUCUUUGACUCUCGUGGGAAUCCCACUGUUGAGGUUGAUCUCUUCACCGCAAAAGGUCUCUUCAGAGCUGCCGUGCCCAGUGGUGCUUCAACUGGUAUCUAUGAGGCCCUAGAGCUCUGGGACAUGCUAAGACUCGCUAUAUGGGGAAGGGUGUCUCAAAGGCUGUUGAGCAUAUCAAUAAAACUAUUGCACCUGCCCUGUUCAGCAAGAAACUGAACGUCACAGACCAAGAGAAGAUUGACAUACUGAUGAUCGAGAUGGAUGGAACAGAAAAUAAAUCUAAGCUUGGCGUGAAUGCCAUUGUGGGGGUGUCCCUCGCUGUCUGCAAAGCUGGUGCUGUUGACAAAGGGGUUCCCCUGUACCACCACAUAGCCAACUUGGCUGGCACUUCCAAAGUCAUCGUGCCAGUCCUGGCAUUCUGUGUCAUCAAUGGCGGUUCCAUGCUGGCAGCAAGCUGGCCAUGCAGGAGUUCAUGAUCCUCCCAGUGGGUGCCACAAACUUCAGGGAAGCCAUGCACACUAGAGUGGAGGUUACCACAACCUGAAGAACGCCAUCAAGGAGAAACAUGGGAAAGACACCAAUGUAGGGGCUGAAGGCGGGUUUGCUCCCAAUGUCCUGAAGAAUAAAGAAGGCCUGGAGCUGCUGAAGCCGCCGAGUGGGAAAGCUGGCUACACGGACAAGGUGGUCAUCCACCUGGACAUAGUGGCCUCCAAGUUCUUCAGGUCUGGGAAGUACGACCUGGACUUCAAGUCUCCGAUGACCCCAGCAGGUACAUCUCACCUGACCAGCUGGCUGACCCGUACAAGUCCUUCAUCAAGGACUAUCCAGUGGUGUCUAUUGAAGACCCCUUUAACCAGGAUGACUGGGGAGCUUGGCAGAAGUUCGCGGCCAGUGCAGGAAUCCAGGUAGUGCAGGACGAUCUCACAGCGACCAACCCAAAGAGGAUUGCCAAGGCCACGAAUGACGAGUCGUGCCACUGCCUCCUGCUCAAAGUCAACUAGAUUGGCUCCAUGACCGAGUCCCCUCAGGUGCAAGCUGGCCCAGGCCAGUGGUUGGAGUGUCAUGGUGUCUCACUGUUCUGGGGAGACUGAAGAUGCCUUCAUCAUGGACCUGGUGGUGAGGCUGUGCACUGGGCAGAUCAAGACUGGUGCCCCUUGCCAAUCUGAACGCCUGGCCAAGUACAACCUGCUCCUCAGAACUGAAGAGGAGCUGGGCAGCAAGGCUGUUUGCUGGCAGGAACUUCAGAAACCCCCUGGCCAAAUAAGCUGUGGGGAGGCCAGCCCUUCAGUCACCUGUUACCUAAUUAGACCCCUCCCCUCGUGUCAGCUUGGGCAGCUUGAGGCUCCCGACCAACACUGGCAGGGACCCCUGCUAGUUAGCUCCCCUCGCCCACCGCCAUGGAGUUCACACCGCUUCCUUAGAACGUCUUCAGAAGCCAAGCUCCCUGGAGCCCUAUUGGCAGCCCUCGCUUUGCAGUCAUGUAACUGGCCCACAUCAUUGUUUUUCUCGCCUCACUUCCCACCAAGACUUGUGAGCCUCCAGGGUCAUCUCCAGGGUGGCCACAGGCAAGAUCCCCAGUGAUUUUGUGCUCAAAAUAAAAAAGCCUCAGUGACCCAUGAGAAAAAAGAAAGAAAGAAAGAAAACAGCAAUGAGAACUGAACCCGUCUUGUUGGUUUAUUGUUAUAAAGUACCUGGGUGAAUUAACAGGAUGCUGGUAUUAUACUGUGAUACUCUUCAGAACACCUGCCCAUCUUUUUUAUGCAAAUAUGUUUAUAAUCUGUGGACUAUCCGUAAUGUCAUUUGCUCAAGUAUUUUAAAAAAGACAUACAGAAACUGAUGGUUAUUGGGAAAACAGGAAGUAGGGGGGUAAUAAAGGCCAUGGGAAUAGUGGUUGAC